rnacentral:rRNA from 1 species
UACGAGGGGGGCAAGCGUUGUUCGGAAUUAUUGGGCGUAAAGGGCGCGUAGGCGGUGCGGUAAGUCUGUUGUGAAAUCUCCGGGCUCAACCCAGAGCCUGCAGGCGAAACUGUGGUGCUGGAGUAUGGGAGAGGUGCGUGGAAUUCCCGGUGUAGCGGUGAAAUGCGUAGAUAUCAGGAGGAACACCAAUUGCGAAGGCAGCUCGCUGGAACGUAACUGACGCUGAGACGCGAAAGCGUGGGGAGCAAACAGG